AUGCAUCUAGUGUAGUGGUAUCAUAGUACCCUUCCACGUUACCGGCCGGGGUUCAAUUCACCGUAUGCGCA
rnacentral:tRNA from 1 species